ACUGUCUGGAGCGGGCUCGCCUCUGCGGCGGCACUCACCGCCCGGGCUUUACUGAAGCGGAGUCUAGCAUGUGCGGCUGCUCCACAGCGGUGUGGGUGGCGGCGGCUCCUCUGCAGCAGCCUCGGCAGUAGGGGUCACGGUGGCCAAGCCCACCGUGGAGCUCAUCUGAGAGUUGUAAGGUACGGGACUGCCUCGGUCUUUGGGACGCCCCGUCUGGUAGCAUCCCAGAUCCAGCACGUUCCUUCCGGCCCUGCACCCCGGCCCGGUGCCUCACACCCCGCUACCCCAUGCAUCCAGACUCUAAGGCAGCCCCUGCAUCUCAGUCCUGACAUCGCUGUCCCUGGAGCAUCCUCCGCUGGAGCUGGAGCUUGACAGCCAAGACAAUCCAAAGCAAAAAGAACACAGCUGGAGGCAUCACGCUACCUGACUUCAAACUAUACUGCAAGGCUACAGUAACCAAGACAGCAUGGUACUAGUACCAAACAGAUAUCUAGAC
rnacentral:lncRNA from 10 species